UACGUAGGUGACGAGCGUUAUCCGGCUUUACUGGGCGUAAAGCGCUUGCAGGCGGUUGAACAAGUCCGACGUGAAAUCUCUCGGCUUAACCGGGAGGGGUCGUUGGAGACUGAUCGACUUGAGGCGAUGAGAGGGAUGCGGAAUUCUCGGUGUAGUGGUGGAAUGCGUAGAUAUCGAGAAGAGCACCAGUGGCGAAAGCGGCAUCCUGGCAUUGUCCUGACGCUCAUGAGCGAAAGCGUGGGGAGCGAACGGG
rnacentral:rRNA from 1 species